rnacentral:rRNA from 1 species
CCCAAGGGGAAUUCCUUAGUAACGGGCGAGUGAAGCGGUAAAAGCUCAAAUUUGAAAUCUGGUACUUUCAGUGCCCGAGUUGUAAUUUGUAGAAUUUGUCUUUGAUUAAGUCCUUGUCUAUGUUCCUUGGAACAGGACGUCAUAGAGGGUGAGAAUCCCGUUUGGCGAGGAUACCUUUUCUCUGUAAGACUUUUUCGAAGAGUCGAGUUGUUUGGGAAUGCAGCUCAAAGUGGGUGGUAAAUUCCAUCUAAAGCUAAAUAUUGGCGAGAGACCGAUAGCGAACAAGUACAGUGAUGGAAAGAUGAAAAGAACUUUGAAAAGAGAGUGAAAAAGUACGUGAAAUUGUUGAAAGGGAAGGGCAUUUGAUCAGACAUGGUGUUUUUUGCAUGCACUCCCCUCUGGUGGGCUUGGGCCUCUCACAAAUUUCACUGGGCCAACAUCAAUUCUGGCAGCAUGAUAAAUCAUUAAGAAUGUAGCUACUUCGGUAGUGUUAUAGCUUUUUGGAAUACUGUUAGCCGGGAUUGAGGACUGCGCUUCGGCAAGGAUGUUGGCAUAAUGGUUAAAUGCCGCCCGUCUUGAAACACGGACCAA